rnacentral:rRNA from 1 species
UGGGGAAUUUUGGACAAUGGGCGCAAGCCUGGUCCAGCCAUGCCGCGUGCAGGAUGAAGGCCUUCGGGUUGUAAACUGCUUUUGUACGGAACGAAAAGGUGCCUUCUAAUAAAGGGCGCUCAUGACGGUACCGUAAGAAUAAGCACCGGCUAACUACGUGCCAGCAGCCGCGGUAAUACGUAGGGUGCGAGCGUUAAUCGGAAUUACUGGGCGUAAAGCGUGCGCAGGCGGUUUUGUAAGACAGAGGUGAAAUCCACGGGCUCAACCUGGGAACUGCGUUUGUGACUGCAAGGCUGGAGUACGGCAGAGGGGGGUGGUAUUCCACGUGUAGCAGUGAAAUGCGUAGAGAUGUGGAGGAACACCGAUGGCGAAGGCAGCCCCCUGGGCCUGUACUGACGCUCAUGCACGAAAGCGUGGGGAGCAAACA